CCGCUCGUAGCUCAGCUGGUAGAGCAGCUCCCUUUUAAGGAGACGGUCGCAGGUUCGAUCCCUGCCGAGCGGA
rfam:Candidatus Ryanbacteria bacterium RIFCSPHIGHO2_01_FTLL_45_22 rifcsphigho2_01_scaffold_2430, whole genome shotgun sequence.